rnacentral:sRNA from 1 species
UUUUAUCAAUGCCAUGCAGCAUAUAAAUCAGACCCACCGCUGUGGGAAUUAUCUCUCAUGAGAAUAGUGAUAAAAUGCGAUCUGCAAGCUUACAGAAAAGUUGGGCAAACUGUUUUGGAGGAAGUAAACAGUGAAGUGGAACAGCGAUAAAGGUACAUGUAGCUGAAUAAAGUAUGGAUUGGUUUGAAAUGGGGAACACAUGUUUCUUCGGAUAAAAUGAGACCCAACCUUUGUGUAUCAAGACCAGUUAUAAAGACUAUAUGUUGAACACCUACAUGAAUAUUCAUGAGAUACUGACUGGAUGUGUUGGAAGGAUUUAUUGGCAACAACUUUCGUGAAAACAUAUCAGCGCGUCAGGGUGGAUAUUUUUCGAGGAAUUUCAAUAGGAAGACAAUAUAAGUUUAUAUAGGCAUCUAGCGUUAGAAACCUUACUCUAUACGCUAUAUAUUUUCCCGAGUGUCGCAAAAAAGUACGAUUGUGAAAGCUUAGCGUGUAGGUCUUUAAAUCCUCCCAGGAACCAAUGUACCCGAAAUGCCAGAAAUUACAUAAAGGCUUCCUAGUUAAAUUUUGAUUAAUAAUGCGAUCAUCCCUCCGAAUUAUAGUUAAACAGAAUAUGUAGCUUUUUAGCGAUUAAAGAAAAUAAAUAAAUGCUACAUUUAUUCAAAUUAUAGUUAAAACAUUCCAAAACAAUGUUUGAUAAGACGACCAGUGUAGAUAAGUUGACUGUCCGCAUUGUGUGGGACCGCAUGAAAGAAUUGCAGCACAGUCAUUUUUUGUUUAUUUUUAAUGUUUCGACUUUGUGAAGAUGUCGUCUUGUGUUGGGGGAAAUUUACCCCCAAAGAAUUGCAACACACACACACACACACACACACACACACACACACACAUUUUUUAGUUUAUUAUAAAGUCUUAAAAGUAAAAAUGUCGUCUUGUAUUGGGGGAAAUUUACCCCCAAAGAUAUUGCAACACAAUCAUUCUUUGUUUUUUUUAUCGCUUCGACUUUCUAAAGAUGUCGUCUUGUGUUGGAGGAAAUUAACUCCAAAGAAUUGUAACACAGAAACUUUUUUAAGGCUUUGACUUUGUAAAGAUGCGGUCUUGUGUUGGAGGAAAUUUACUCCAACAAAUUGUAACACAGAAAAUUUUUUUAAGGCUUUGACUUUGUAAAGAUGCGUCUUGUGUUAGAGGAAAUUUAUUCCAAAGAUUUGUAACACGGACAUUUUUUUUAAGGCUCUGACAUUGCAAAGAUGCGGUCUUGUGUUGGAGGAAAUUUACUCCAAAGAAUUGAAACACUGUAAUUUUUAGGGUUUUAAUUUACGGCUUUGACUUUGUAAAGAUACGGUCUUGUGUUGGAGGAAAUUUACUCCAAAGAAUUGUAACGCAUACAUUUUUUUGUAAGGCUUUGUCUCUGUAAAGAAGCGUCUUGUGUUGGAGGAAAUUUACUCCAAAGAAUUGUAACGCAUACAUUUUUUUUGUAAGGCUUUGUCUUUGUAAAGAUGCGUCUUGUGUUGGAGGAAAUUUAAUCCAAGGAAUUGUAACACAGUCAUUUUUUUGUUUAUCAUUAAGUCUUCAAAUUUGUAAAGUUGAUGUCUUGUGUUGGAGGAAAUUAACCCCAAUGAAUUUCAACACAGUUAUUUUCUGUUUAUUUUUAAAGCUUUGAGAUCAUAUAGAUGUCGUUUUGUGUUGUGGGAAAUUUACCUCAAAGAAUUGCAACACAAUCAUUUUGUGUAUAUUCAUAUCGCUACGAUCCGAAUUUAUAUAGAUGUCCUCUUGUGUUGGAGGAAAUUUACCCCAAAGAUAUUGCAACACAGUCAAUUUCUGUAUUUCUUUAUCCCGUCGACUUUGUAUUGAUGUGGUUUUGUGCUGGGGAAGAUUUACCCCAAAGAAUUGCAACAGAUAUGCAUACCUGUAUAGAUUUUGAGGUUGAAAAUUUGUAAAGACGAUGUUUCAUCUUGGGGGUAAAUUUACCCGAACAGUGUAACAUAUAAUCCAUUGUCUCAGAUUAAUCGCUUGCAUAAAAUGCAUUGUAUUUGGGGGUAAAUUUACUCUGAAAAAAAACGAUUCGAUUUUUUUCUUGAAAAUAACAAUUUUUUGUAAAUAGAAUUUAAGUAUAUUCUGCAUAAUUUUUUGGAUAUGUCACAGCUUCACUUUCACAAGUAACUGUUUUUGCAUUUGUCUUUUACUUGUUUAUUCUCCUAACACCCCUAGGCCUCUUAAAAAUUCUUAAUUCCAUAUAUACAGAGAAGCUUGGUUAGUUUUUGGGGGUAAAUUUCUAUUCUGAAGAGUUUCUUGAUUUCUUGUUACGUGUUAUGCUGUGUUAUGCGGAAAAUAAAGCUUAAACUGUC